GAUGAACGCUGGCGGCGUGCCUAAUACAUGCAAGUCGAGCGAACAGACGAGAGUGCUUGCCCUCUCUGACGUUAGCGGCGGACGUGUGAGUCACACGUGGGUAACCUACCUAUAAGACUGGGAUAACUUCGGGAAACCGGAGCUAAUACCGGAUAAUAUUUAGCUUCGCAUGACGCAAUAGUGAAAGACGGUUCUGCUGUCACUUAUAGAUGGACCCGCGGUGUAUUAGCUAGUUGGUGAGGUAACGGCUCACCAAGGCAACGAUACAUAGCCGACCUGAGAGGGUGAUCGGCCACACUGGAACUGAGACACGGCCCAGACUCCUACGGGAGGCAGCAGUAGGGAAUCUUCCGCAAUGGACGAAAGUCUGACGGAGCAAUGCCGCGUGAGUGAAGAAGGUUUUCGGAUCGUAAAACUCUGUUGUAAGGGAAGAACAAGUACGUUAGUAACUGAACGUACCUUGACGGUACCUUACCAGAAAGCCACGGCUAACUACGUG
rnacentral:rRNA from 1 species